rnacentral:misc_RNA from 1 species
UACUGGAAGAGAUAAAUGAACAAACUAAGCUAACAUUUAUCUGGUGAGCUUAAUCUAUUCUUUAGAAUAGAACCACAAAGUUCUGUCAAAUGAUUUGACUAGUAGGCAUAUUUGUCUUCAGAGGAAAAAAUAUUGAAAUUUAAGCAAUGGGUCUUCUCAAUUGAGCAGGAAAAGGAGAAACUGUCCAGAAAACAAAACUGGUUUUCAGUCUAUAAAUCUGAGAAACUCCAGUUAUAAAGUAAAUCGAAGCCCAAGAAUAAACAGAAAGGAAAACAAA